rnacentral:lncRNA from 1 species
GUCUUAUGGUACUGAUUUUCAAUCAAGUGACUCCUUCAAAAGCGAGGCAAGAAGCACGUGACUGCCUCCUGCUAAUUAAUGCUGAGUGUUCUUUCACUAGUCACCAAACAGUUAUUGCACUUGGCUGGGUGUGUGACGGUGAACAGGAUGGACACCUCUCCUGCCCUCACGGGCCUGCAGUCUAAGGAACGUCAAGACGGACACGCAGGCAAACCCCUGGGACCUUUCGCAGCUCAGCAGUGGUGGAGGGGGCCAUUCCACAGAGGAAGCAGGGGAAGGGAGUGGUGAACGAAGGCCACAACUGUGUGGGUGAAGCUAUCGUGAAGACUGGACAGGAGCCCAGGGCUCUGUAGGCAAAGGCCACUCCCCAGCCGCGAGACCUGGACCGACAGCAGAAGACAGGACUCCAGCAAUGGUUCAGCUAUGUGAAAAGAGUAUGAAUAUACCAGAAGCUUCUCUAUGCCGUCCGAUGGAGAACAGCAGUCUCUUAAUGUGUCCUGACUCUGGAGAGUAUUGGCAUACAUUUGAACUAAACUCAAGAUUUUUUUCAAAAUAAGCCUUAAUCUUAAAAGAAAUUAUUCCAUAUUCAAAUUAAAACAAUUUUAAUAGAACUUUCCUUUCCAGAAACAAUUAUACACAAAGCAAGGCAUUUUGUAAACUGUGAUCCUGAGCUAGUUACAGUGCAAAAAUAAAUAUACGUGGAAUAUACUCCGCAAAACAGAAACUACUCUCUGUCUCUUGGGCUUGGAAGGAAGCUGAAGGACAACCGACUCAAAACUUUGGGCAGGGCUUUCCAAAACCAAAGCUAAGCCCAGGCAUUAAGGCUGCAUGCUUAACGUGUGGUGCUAGGAGAGAGCGACCAAAGAUGGGAAGCAUAGAUGAAUAUCAGUCUCCCAGAGUACUUUUCACCAUCACGAGGAGAGUCAUAAGGGUUAAAUAAACAACAAUCUGAAUAGAAGCCAUUUGUAUGAGAAUGACGAUGCACGGGAGGGGUGACUUCCAUUUCCCUUCUCUAAUCUGAGCUCCUGGGGGCAUACUUUGGUUUCUGGGACAAUUUCCAAACCCUGAAGUCACCAGACUAGACAUGGAGUGGGCACUGACCAGAGCAAUCCAUGGACUGUUCGCUGUUGGGAACUAGAGUGGACCAAUUUUGAGAAACAGAUCAGUCAGAAAUGGGGGAUGGGAGCAGAGGUAAGAGGAGGCACUGAGGCAGACAGAGGCCCUUGCAAACUGAAGAGGAAACAGAAAUUAUGAGUCAGCAGCAGAAGCUGGUAGUAAGCCUGGAGAGGAAAAUGGAACAGAUGCAGAGAGAAGAUGCUGAGACAAAUGACAUGCUCAUGAUUCUUGGAGACUUUCCCAUUCAUCCCAGCUCAAGUCCACAUGUGUGCUUAUUCCUACAAAAAUAAGUAAAAAGUAAACAAACACUUUCUCUUGG